GAUGAACGCUGGCGGCGUGCCUAAUACAUGCAAGUCGAGCGAACAGAUAAGGAGCUUGCUCCUCUGACGUUAGCGGCGGACGGGUGAGUAACACGUGGGUAACCUACCUAUAAGACUGGGAUAACUUCGGGAAACCGGAGCUAAUACCGGAUAACAUUUGGAACCGCAUGGUUCUAUAGUGAAAGAUGGUUUUGCUAUCACUUAUAGAUGGACCCGCGCCGCAUUAGCUAGUUGGUAAGGUAACGGCUUACCAAGGCGACGAUGCGUAGCCGACCUGAGAGGGUGAUCGGCCACACUGGAACUGAGACACGGUCCAGACUCCUACGGGAGGCAGCAGUAGGGAAUCUUCCGCAAUGGGCGAAAGCCUGACGGAGCAACGCCGCGUGAGUGAUGAAGGGCUUCGGAUCGUAAAACUCUGUUAUUAGGGAAGAACAAAUGUGUAAGUAACUGUGCACGUCUUGACGGUACCUAAUCAGAAAGCCACGGCUAACUACGUG
rnacentral:rRNA from 1 species